ACUUUCAAAAAUUAAAUUGAAAAUAUCGUAGUAACAAUACGCAUGUUUAAAGUUUUGACCCCCCUUGUUAAAGGGGUAUGAUCCGAUUUACAAAAAAAGCGUGCCAGAUGAAAGGGGUAUAUAAAUAUUUAUUAUAAAAAAAUAAUAAUAUUGAUCCAUACAUUUUUCCAAAAGUUAUAUAAAAUAUAAAUUAAAUAAUAUAACAUAUAAAAUCGAGAUUUUUUUCACGGAAAUCGUACGUUUUUCUUUAACUUUGAUGUCCGUUUUCACCACGAAGACAAGUCCAGAGGUCAAAUUUUUUUUUUUCAAAUUAAAGUAUAUUACAUAAGCUUUAAUUUAAGAUAUAUAUAAAAGUGUCAGUCUUUCCGGAACAUUUUCAAAAGUUAAGUUGAAAAAGUUCUACUUUCUAUACGCAUUUUAAAAGGUUUGCACCCCCCCUGUAUAAAGGGAAAUGGUCCGAUUUUAAAAAAAAGUAUGUCGAAUGAAAGAGGUAUAUAUAAAGUAUUUAUUAUUAAAAAUUAGAAUUGAUUCAUGCAUUUUUUAAAAAGUUAUAGCAUCAUAAUAUUAAAAAAUGUAAAAUAUAAUAUCAAGAAUUUUUUCAAAAAAAUAGCAUAUUUUUGCAUACGGUAGUCAUUUUCACCAUGAAGACAAGUCCAGAGGUCAAAUUUUUUUUUUUCAAAUUAAAGUAUAUUACAUUAGCUUUAAUUUAAGGUAUAUAUAAAAGUGUCAGUCUUUCCGGAACAUUUUCAAAAGUUAAGUUGAAAAAGUUAAUUUUUUGUAAAAAAGUUACCAUUUUGAAACCCCAUCCUGUGGGCUGUUAAUGGGUCAAAUAUUCACAGAAAUAUAUAAAAUGAUAGGUAAAUAUUUAAGGUAUCUAUAAAAAAAAAAAUUAUAUUGAUUCGAUCAUUUUUAAAAAAGUUAUGGCAAUUUUAAGUAAAAAAAAUUGAAAAAAUAUCGAAAAUUAGCGAUUUUUAAAUUUGUAAUUUUUUGGGGGAUUUCCCCCGUUUACGGGGAACGAGGGAAUUUUUUUCAAUUUUUGAGGGUAAUGUCUUCGACUAGAUACGAUUUGUGAUCUUUUGACAUAUUGUUCAUCAAAAUCGGUCCAGCGAGAGCUGAGAUUGAGCGUUCACAGACACAAAAAAAAAAAUAAAAAAAUAAAAAAACACAUCAUAGUAAAAUUAAUACCUUCUCAGCUUCGCAUCGAAGCUA